rnacentral:rRNA from 1 species
CGGGGGCCGCCUACAAUGCAGUCGAGCGGUAGAGAGAAGCUUGCUUCUCUUGAGAGCGGCGGACGGGUGAGUAAUGCCUAGGAAUCUGCCUGGUAGUGGGGGAUAACGUUCGGAAACGGACGCUAAUACCGCAUACGUCCUACGGGAGAAAGCAGGGGACCUUCGGGCCUUGCGCUAUCAGAUGAGCCUAGGUCGGAUUAGCUAGUUGGUGAGGUAAUGGCUCACCAAGGCGACGAUCCGUAACUGGUCUGAGAGGAUGAUCAGUCACACUGGAACUGAGACACGGUCCAGACUCCUACGGGAGGCAGCAGUGGGGAAUAUUGGACAAUGGGCGAAAGCCUGAUCCAGCCAUGCCGCGUGUGUGAAGAAGGUCUUCGGAUUGUAAAGCACUUUAAGUUGGGAGGAAGGGUUGUAGAUUAAUACUCUGCAAUUUUGACGUUACCGACAGAAUAAGCACCGGCUAACUCUGUGCCAGCAGCCGCGGUAAUACAGAGGGUGCAAGCGUUAAUCGGAAUUACUGGGCGUAAAGCGCGCGUAGGUGGUUUGUUAAGUUGGAUGUGAAAUCCCCGGGCUCAACCUGGGAACUGCAUUCAAAACUGACUGACUAGAGUAUGGUAGAGGGUGGUGGAAUUUCCUGUGUAGCGGUGAAAUGCGUAGAUAUAGGAAGGAACACCAGUGGCGAAGGCGACCACCUGGACUAAUACUGACACUGAGGUGCGAAAGCGUGGGGAGCAAACAGGAUUAGAUACCCUGGUAGUCCACGCCGUAAACGAUGUCAACUAGCCGUUGGAAGCCUUGAGCUUUUAGUGGCGCAGCUAACGCAUUAAGUUGACCGCCUGGGGAGUACGGCCGCAAGGUUAAAACUCAAAUGAAUUGACGGGGGCCCGCACAAGCGGUGGAGCAUGUGGUUUAUUCGAAGCAACGCGAAGAACCUUACCAGGCCUG